AUUGAACGCUGGCGGCAGGCCUAACACAUGCAAGUCGAGCGGAUGAAGGGAGCUUGCUCCUGGAUUCAGCGGCGGACGGGUGAGUAAUGCCUAGGAAUCUGCCUGGUAGUGGGGGAUAACGUCCGGAAACGGGCGCUAAUACCGCAUACGUCCUGAGGGAGAAAGUGGGGGAUCUUCGGACCUCACGCUAUCAGAUGAGCCUAGGUCGGAUUAGCUAGUUGGUGGGGUAAGGCCUACCAAGGCGACGAUCCGUAACUGGUCUGAGAGGAUGAUCAGUCACACUGGAACUGAGACACGGUCCAGACUCCUACGGGAGGCAGCAGUGGGGAAUAUUGGACAAUGGGCGAAAGCCUGAUCCAGCCAUGCCGCGUGUGUGAAGAAGGUCUUCGGAUUGUAAAGCACUUUAAGUUGGGAGGAAGGGCAGUAAGUUAAUACCUUGCUGUUUUGACGUUACCAGCAGAAUAAGCACCGGCUAACUUCGUG
rnacentral:rRNA from 1 species